CGAGGAGCCUGGAUGACGCAGGAGGUUUCCGGGCUUGACUGACAAUCUUCAUGAUCUCCUCGACGCUCUGAAGUGAAGACAAGCUGGGAUUGUCUCUCCGGUAAUACACUGCUUGAUUUGCUUCAGUAAGUUCACGUGAUAAGAUAUACACAUACCCGAGUGGAAUUUGCAACGAAAAUACGGGAGAGCAGGUGCCUGCAGUCUUGGGAGAUAUGGACAUAGUCUGGAAUUGUGUAUUGUGUAGCCAUUAUUCUCUGCAGAAUUAAUGGAUCAUCAAAAUAUUAGUAGUAUAUUCUUUAUAAUUCUUGA